UACGGAGGGGGCUAGCGUUGUUCGGAAUUAUUGGGCGUAAAGCGCACGUAGGCGGCUUUUCAAGUCAGGGGUGAAAUCCCGGGGCUCAACCCCGGAACUGCCCUUGAAACUGGAUGGCUAGAAUCUUGGAGAGGUCAGUGGAAUUCCGAGUGUAGAGGUGAAAUUCGUAGAUAUUCGGAAGAACACCAGUGGCGAAGGCGACUGACUGGACAAGUAUUGACGCUGAGGUGCGAAAGCGUGGGGAGCAAACAGG
rnacentral:rRNA from 1 species